GCCCGAGUACCAGCGCCUCGCUGGGGCGCUGUUCGAAGCGGCGUAGUGAGACGUUUCCGGUGUUCAGCGUCACCGAUCCGGGCUC
rnacentral:tRNA from 1 species